rnacentral:rRNA from 1 species
GACGAACGCUGGCGGCGUGCUUAACACAUGCAAGUCGAGCGGUAAGGCCCUUUCGGGGGUACACGAGCGGCGAACGGGUGAGUAACACGUGGGUGACCUGCCUUUAGCUCUGGGAUAAGCCUGGGAAACUGGGUCUAAUACCGGGUAUGACUCCGCGGUGCAUGCUGUGGGUGGAAAGCCUUGUGCGGCUGGAGAUGGGCCCGCGGCCUAUCAGCUUGUUGGUGGGGUGAUGGCCUACCAAGGCGA